CCUACGGGAGGCAGCAGUGAGGAAUAUUGGUCAAUGGGCGGAAGCCUGAACCAGCCAAGUCGCGUGCAGGAUGACGGCUCUAUGGGUUGUAAACUGCUUUUAUACGGGAAUAACGCGCCUUACGUGUAGGGCUUUGCAUGUAUCGUAUGAAUAAGGACCGGCUAAUUCCGUGCCAGCAGCCGCGGUAAUACGGAGGGUCCGGGCGUUAUCCGGAUUUCUUGGGUUUAAAGGGUGCGUAGGCCGCAUGUCAAGCUUGCUGUGAAAUGUCCGGGCUCAACCCGGGCCUUGCAGCGCGAACUGGCGUGCUUGAGACCGCGGAAAGCAGGCGGAAUGAGUCGUGUAGCGGUGAAAUGCUUAGAUAUUACGAAGAACCCCGAUUGCGAAGGCAGCUUGCUACAGCGGAACUGACGCUGAUGCACGAAAGCGCGGGUAGCGAACAGGAUUAGAUACCCGAGUAGUC
rnacentral:rRNA from 1 species